rnacentral:rRNA from 1 species
UACGUAGGGCGCAAGCGUUGUCCGGAAUUAUUGGGCGUAAAGAGCUCGUAGGCGGUUUGUCGCGUCUGCUGUGAAAUCCCGAGGCUCAACCUCGGGCUUGCAGUGGGUACGGGCAGACUAGAGUGCGGUAGGGGAGACUGGAAUUCCUGGUGUAGCGGUGGAAUGCGCAGAUAUCAGGAGGAACACCGAUGGCGAAGGCAGGUCUCUGGGCCGCAACUGACGCUGGAGGAAGCGAAAGCAUGGGGAGCGAACAGG